UGACAUCACUGCCUUGGGGGAAGUUGCUCAGCGGCUCUGCUCCUCAGCGCCCUCAUCUGUAAGGUGGGAAUGAUGGCAGUCCUACUGGUGCUGGUGGUGUGAAGCCUACCUGAGUUGACCCGUAAAAGCUCUCUGAACGCUAAGCACCCACAAGGUGUGGCCGGUACAGUCAUUUGCUGUGAGGGAGUCAACUGACAGGGUCAGAGGGCUGGGCCUCAUAAACGUGGGUAAAUUCAAGUAAUCUGGGGAGAGCAAAUAUGUUAAAUCGCCCUCUAGCGAGGAUCUGGAGAACUGCAGCCGUUGAGGACCACCUUCUGAUUCUUGGGCAUCCGGGCAGUGGUGCUGGGUCCGUUGAGUUGUAUAUCCCAUGCUUCAUUUCCCUCCUGGGUUUGGCUAGCUUUAUGGAGAAACAGGAGGAUUUCAAAUGUAAAGGCAACAAAAAAUAGUACAUGGCCCAUGCUCCAGCACAGGUGAGAGCUUAUGCCUUCUGCCUUGUGAAGUUGCCUGUGGAGGGAAGACUUUGGAAAAGAUGCCUUUUGUAGAAGGCAUACCAAGAAGCUGUGGCUCCAGGAACGUGGAAGGUGUGCGGCCAGACCCACGCAUACUGCAACCCAUCUCUAUCGUCUCCAUCUUGGCCACCUUUCUGCAUCCACAGUCCAGCCCAGUUGAGGGUCCUUGAAGGUCUCAGCCAGAAGGACCUAGAGUGGGUAGAGGAAAUGUCUUCCUCCCCUACAAGAACAUACAUGAAGAUGAAGGCUUGGGAAGUAAGGGCAUAAGAUGCAAACUUGGUGGCUCCUGGUACUGUCUCAGAGAGCGUGUUUUGCACUUGGGAACAUCACAAAGCCUUGAUACGGAAAGCACCGCAAGGUGAGGAUCUCGGCUUUUCCCUCGGCAGCGACUUCAACGCCCAACAAAGUGUAAAAAGCAUAUUUUACUCAUGCAAACGUACAUGUGAGACCACUGGGGGAAAG
rnacentral:lncRNA from 1 species